AGUAUUGUGCAGUGGCAGUAUCAUAGCCAAUGAGGUUAAUCUGAGGUGUGAUUAUUGCUAGUUGAAUCUUUUCUUCAGCGUGUGCAGUAGGUAAGGGUGUAAUCUAAUUGCAUACUAAGACAAACAUAGUAGAUGG